rnacentral:rRNA from 1 species
CAACUCGACUACAUGAAGCUGGAAUCGCUAGUAAUCGCGAAUCAGCAUGUCGCGGUGAAUACGUUCCCGGGCCUUGUACACACCGCCCGUCACACCAUGGGAGUUGGAAGUGCCCGAAGCCUGUGACCCAACCUGCAAGGGAGGGAGCAGUCGAAGGAGAAGCCAGCGACUGGGGUGAAGUCGUAACAAGGUACC